rnacentral:tRNA from 1 species
AUUAAGGUGACAGAUGAUAUGUGAAGAAUUUAAGAUUCUUUUAUGAAAAUUUAAUUUCUCUUAAUA